UAGGGGCGCUGUGCAGGCACAGACAUCCCCAGCCAGGACAUAUUCUUUGCUGUGGAGCACGAGGCAAGACAUGGGCACCAUCUUUAGUUUUGCUGUUUGGUUUGGCUUGGUUUUAGUUUUGUGGGUUGAACCCAGGCGCAUCACACGGAGCUGCCUCCCUACCUUGUGAUUAUGUUUGAGGCAGGGUCUCCCUGAGUCACUGAAUUGCCCAGGCUGGACUCUCCCUGGGAUUCUCAUGCCUCAGCCUCCAGGACGCCAGGGUUACAGGCCCGUUCCACCACGGCUGAGACCAGGAACGGCUGCAGGGGCCUUGGGAGAGCUAUUCUGCCUCACGUCCUGUGCCACAGCCCUGGGAGUGGUGGCCAGGAGGGCGGUGGCCGCUGGGCAACAACAGGGCUCCCCACUCCCCUCAGCCACCCGCACUCAGAGACUGGAAAGCCAGCCCUGCCCCUGCGCUCAGGGAGGCGGCCCCGCUGGCCUCAGUCUUGCUUUCUGGCCAGGCAGGGAAACCCCGCUUCCCUCAGUGCCCAGUGAUGACACAGUCCUCUACAGCAUGCAGGGGGUGGCCCAAAGAGUACCAAGCUGCCUUCUGGGUCAGGUGACACAGGGUGGCCCAGGGCAAUGGUGGCAGCUUGACCGAGCUCACCCAGAGGCCAUGCAAGGGACCCGGACGUGUCACCAGGCCUCUGCCCAGGGACUACUUAAUUGAGAUUUCUUUGCACUCAGAAAGGCUGGGAAUGGGGGUACCCUCCUGCCUCAGCCUCCUGAAUGCUGCCCCUUCCUUUUUCUUCCUUUUGGAAAAGCCCAGGAUUCCUGGUUACGAGGUCCAGGCAGCCCUGCAGGCCGCGUCAGGCCGCCCACGUGGAGGUGACCAUUCUGUCUUCUCUCUGGAGAAAGUUUGCUGUCUUUACACUGCCCGCGUGUGACUAAAACACCACAUUUGCAAGACUGUGAGCGCUGCACACUUUGACCAUUCUGCCCUCACCGUCCAACCCACUCCCCGAUCCCGAGCGCUGGCCUGAAGGGUGAGAGUCACCGCUUCCUUCCAGGAAUCCUUCCUCCCUUGGCUCUGUACCUGAAGACUUCCCACCCUGCUCUGUACAAGGCAGGGCCACUGCAGAGGUGCCAGUCAGGUUUUCUGGGAGGUGUCCUAUUAGGUAGUAGGGGAGGGAGGUCUUUUCUGCCGCUCACUUGUUUUCAAAGUGUGGACAUGAGGGCUGGUGCUCAUGCAGCCAUCCUGGACCUCGAGGUAAGAGCCAUUUGCAGAGUAUGACGAAGCAGCAAGACAGGAAGGGCUGGUCUCUGACGGCUUUGGCGCCUGGCACCCGCCCUGCUACAUAAGAGACCCAGAUCAUGUUGGCAGUGCCACCGUUGUUCUGGGAUCUGGGUCGCUCCCAGCGGAUCUGAUCCUGGUUGACCUGAGGAUGCCAGCCACGUCAGCCUGUUAAAGCAACCCGCAGUCUGAGCUUGUUUUCUGUUUUCUUUCUCACACCGAGCAGAGAAUGAAUCAAGGGCUUGUGAGUUCCAUUCACACCCAAACCCCAGCCGUGCCGGGGCUCCCUCCCACUUGAUCUCUCUGCCCACACCCAAGCUGUUACACCCCGACCCGUGGCCUCUCUAGUGCCGUGGUGCCCGCUGCUGUGUGCAGGCCAGUUAAGGAAUCCACCUCCCACUGCCAGGGACAAUUUCUGAACACAUCUCUGCCUCGUGGCGAGAACGUGGCUGCGUGGUUGCUACGUGAUUGCUGCCAGUUCCACUUCCUGGCCAGGGCUGGGCAAACGGAGCUGCCCACUGACUUUCCCGGCCGCCUCAUGCUCCUGUGUUUGUACUGCACUCACCCGCUGCAGCCCCUCCUGCCCGGCGCAGAUCGAUCGGCUGAUUAAGCCAUCAGAUUGCAGCAGCCAGCUGUAAUUUUAAACCCGUAUCUCCUCUACUCCCUCUGCUGCAACCCACAACCCCACCACCCUCGCCCCCCCUGCCCUCCCUCCCCAUGGAUCCAGCGGCAGGACACCGAAGCAGGAGCUGCCCAGCCAGCAGCUGGCUAGUCCGCUUUCCCAGGCUUGGCUUUCAGUGGAAUGUGUGAAGAGGUUUAUUUUGUAUUUUUGGAUUGCGAGACAGGGUCUUGCUACACAGUCCAGGCCGGCCUCAAACUCCCGGCGCCCCUCCUGCCUCAGCCUCCUGAGUGCUUGGAUUACAGGUGUGGGCCUCUUGCCGGGCCAGAUGUUCCCUUCUUUCUGGGAUCAGUGUCACACCACACCCAGUAUGGGUUCUAUGGCUGCGUGACAAUUGGUCCACAGCUCAGCAGCGAACCUCGAGUGUCCCAUCUAUGGGGUCAGGGGCCCCGGUGACCUCACUAGCCUCCAUGGCUUCCUCCUUGGCACCAUCCUGUGACACAUGGAUCUGUUCUGGGCUUCCAGGGCUCCUCGAAGCCCGGCCACACUGAGCACCACCCAGAAGACUCCCUUUAGGGCCUUUGCCCUUGUAAGGGUGGGCAGGAAGGGAAAUUAGCACCAGUCACGGGGACUCAGACCCUGUCCCCAGUGCACCGUGGAGCCAGGUGGUGGCCCUGGAGCCCCAGGCCACUGGGCAACAGCUCUAGGAUGAGGUUGAAGCCAGGUUGGGCCCAGUUCUGCAGAGGGCACCCCAAGCUCCUGCCCCGCUGGUCUCCUGGACAGGAAGCUGCACAGAGCACAGCAGCCAGUGGUGCCCAGCUGAGGCGGCAACUCCACCCUGGGUCCCCAUUGGUGGCACUGGCAGCAGUGCAUGCACUGGGCAGCUGCUCCUGGGAACCUGCCUGCCCGCUCCGAGGUCCCCAGAACCAGAACCGGCUAAGCUCUGCCCUUCACCUCCACCAAAGUGCUCUCCUGAGACAGCACCCGCCUGGCACCCGGCACCGCCUCCUGGCCUGCAGCCCACUGAGUGCUGGGGCAUCCAGGGCAACCUGGCCAGGACCUGUGCCCACACACAUGGGGAGUGCAAGGUGGCUGUUACCCAACUGAGCUCAGAAAGGAGCCGAUGCCACCUUCCGUGCCCCUCCUUGAAGGGUGUCACUCUCCACCCCCAGCUCCUGGGCUAUGUGGGGCUCAGCCAUCUGGGGUCAGGUGCCUGGGCUCUGGUGACAGAUGCCCAGUUUGCCUACUGUGUUUCCAGGUUCAUUUUCUCACAGUGUCCAGUUCCCCUCCUGGUCCUUCAGCUGAGGAGUAACAACAAAAAGCUGGGCACACCUGUGAUCCCAGCACUCGGGAGGCUGAAGCAGGAGGAUUGCCCAGAACACAGCUGCUCUCUCCUGGGGUGCCGGCUUCUUUCCAGCCACUCCAGACUACAGCCCCCCACACGCUCCCCUUGCCACACAAGCUAUCGGCUUCAGCCGGGCCACCUACGGGCAGAGCCAGCACGGCCCUGGCCAGCAGCCUGGGGAGAUGCUGGAUCGGCCAUGCAGGGUAGUGAGUUCCCCACCAGCAGAGGCAAACAAGUGUGGCUGGGAGGCAGCCUGACCCUCAGGCCUCUCUCCCUGUGUGGCUCUGCAGGUGUGCGGGGCAGAGCCUGUUGUCUUGGUUGUUGCCACUGCAGUCCAUGUUGCCCACCCCCCCAGCACUACUCACUGUCUCCGGGCUGAAGAGGCAGUGUCUGUCUGAGGGAAGCAAGGUGCCCUGGACCUGGGGGCUCCUGGGAGCUGGCUUUGGACACGGUGGGGAGUUUCAGUUCUCCAGGCUGUGGCCCGGGCACCACCAAGGCCUGUGUUGUUCAUCCCUAGCCUGCAUGCGAGGCUGCUGCUGACCCAUUCAGCAGACAAGGAGACUAAGGCUGCCAGACCUGCAGAGGUGGCCCAGCCAAGAGGGAGAGUGCAGCCCUCAGUGCAGCAAGAGGAUUGCAGGCUGGGGAUAGAUUGGGGGGGGGGGGUGGCAGGACUGGGGUCCCCCCAUCUGAAGUGUGGAGAGCACUGGGGUGGGCAGACGAAGCCCUGCCAGCCAAGCCAGAGGGUGCAGACAGGACCGGGGACCCAGCCUGUGACCCGUGUGACCCCAGGGACACUCAGCCUCCCCUCUCCCCGUCCUCCCACUGCCCGUCCUACUGUUACUGUUUGCCUUGCUUUCCAGGGACUGACCCGGGCUUUUGCCCUGAGCCACUUCCCAUCCUCCUGACGUUGUGUGAUGAGACAAGGACUCACUAAAUCACCAAAUUGCCCAGGCUGGGCUCACACUUGUGCUCCUCCUGCCUCAGCCUCCCAGGUGCCGGGAUCACAGGUGUGAGCCACCACACCCAGCCCAGCCCUGGGUUUUAACUGCUAACCCACUGGGUGCCCCAGAGGGCUCCCCAUGGCCCCUAGACUCCUCCCUCUGCAGCCCCCAGAAGCCUGGUCACCGCCCCCCUCCUAGAGUUCCUGAAUCGCCAAGGGCUAGAGACCAUGUCUAACUUUUCCAUGAGCUAGGAUCACAGAAGUGGGGUCACGAGACACGGGGACACGGGCUUUUUAAAGGCCUUCUGUUCGGAGCUGAUAGAAUCACAGGAACUUAGAGAACCAGCUCGGAGCGCUGUGGACCCUUCUCCCGACAAUACCAUUGUAUCUGUCUCCAGAUGGGGCACUGGAUGGGUACAGUACCAAUCCGUUCACUAUGGACUUAAGACACAGUGAUGCCUGCGUGAUGGCACAGACUUGUAAUCCAGUAUUCAGGAGACUGAAGCAGGAGGGUCACUGCUCUUGAUAAGUCGAUAAAUUGCCCGGCUGGACUGAAACUUACCACCCUCCUGCCUCAGCCUCCCCGACUGCUGGGGCACCGAGCAUGCGCCACUGCACAUGGUGAGACAGGGCUUGCACGUCUUCAAUAAACGGGUCCUAGGCGGCAGCUGUCUUAGCCGUGUGGCCAGUGUCGCCUUCCCUCCCGUUCCUGCCUUUGCACUUGGGCGGGAAUCUGCGCUGACCGCCCACCUCGCCCUGGUGCCCGCAGGGCCGCUGGCUCUCCAGAGCGCCCCGUUACCAGCCCACAGUGAUGGUGCUUUCUUGUUCCCUCCCAGCUCUUUCUUCUUCUGUGAUUUGUGUCCACCAGAAAUGCUGGAGUUGGGAGCCCUGGUCACAGUGACCCUUGAGUCACUACCAGGCUUCCAGCGGGAAGACUUUUCUUUAAUUUUCUAUUAAAUAUGCUGCUUGCUAUAAA